AAAAAGGUAAGACUUAAAUCAGUGCCUGAGAAGAAGUGCAAAUACACUAAAUACACUUUAGGAAAAUAACCUCACAUUAAUUUUUUUUUUUUUUUUUUUUUUUUGAGAUGGAGUCUCAUUUUUUCACCCAGGCUGGAGUGCAGUGGUGCGGAUCUCAGCUCACUGCAACCUCUGCCUCCUGAGUUCAAGCAAUUAUCCUGCCUCCGCCUCCCGAGUAGCUGGGAUUACAGCCAUGCACCACCACGCCUGGCUAAUUUUUGUUUUUAGUAGAGACGGGGUUUCACUGUGUUGUCCAGGCUGGUCUCAAAAUCCCAACCUCAAGUGAUAAAGUGCUGGGAUUACAGGCGUGAAUCAUUACGCUUGGUCCUGACAUGAAUAUUUAGCAGAGGUAAAAACUGAAGAUAAAAAGGCCAGCAGGAAUUGAAGUAUGAGUUUCUGAUUUGUAGCAAUAAGAAUGGAGAGGCAUAUUCUGUGCUGACAGAGGUUAUUAAGUAAAUAAUAAUAAAAGGAUGGAGAGGCAGAAAAAAAUGUGAUGUGAAGACAGAGCCUAAGAAAGGUAAUGAGGCCAGACCCAGUGACUCCCAUGUAUAAUUUCAGCACUGUGGGAGCCAGAGGUAGGAAGAUUGCUUGAGUCCAGGAGUUUGAGACUAGCCUGGGCAAAAUGGCAAAACCCCAUGUCCACCAAAAAAAAAAAAAAAAAAAUUAGCUGGGUGUAGUGUCAUGCACCUGUAGUGCCAGCUACUUGGGAGGCUAAGGCAGGAGGAUAGCUUGAGCAGGGAGGUCGAGGCUGCAGAGAGCCAUAUUGGAGCUACUGCCCUCCAGUUUGAGCAAUAAAGUGAAACCCCAUCUAAAAAUGAAAAAGAAAAGGCAGACAGCAAAUCCUCGGUGGCAUAGUGAUGGCAGUUGGUGAAUCAGAAGUUAGCAAGAUUAGGGAGACACAGGAAAAGGCAAGACUGCUUGUUAACAAAGUAGAUAGGGCCAAUCUGUAGAACUAUGUAAACAUGAUGUAUUUUUUGUUCUGAUGUAUUACAUAGUUCUGUAGAACUAUGUAAACAUUGCUCACUAGCCAAUGGCGAGGCCACAGAACAUACUGGUGAUACUUUCAUGGGCAUAUACUUUACCUUAAAGAUCUGGAGAACCAGUAUAUCUUAGGAGGCCCUCUGUUUCACCUCAUAAAGGGCAAUAUAUACUAAUAAAAUACUUACGUAUGCUUUUAUGCAUUCUUUAUGGUAUUUUUAAAAUUGAUUUUUAUUAUUAAAAUUUUUAGACCAGGUGCAGUGGCUCACACCUGUGUUCCCAGCACUUUGGGAGGCCAAGGUGGGCAGAUUGCUUGAGCCCAGGAGGUCAAGACCAGCCUGGGAAACAUGGGGAAACUGCCCAUCUCUACUAAAAAUACAAAAAUUCGCUGCACAUGGUAGCCCACACCUGUGUUCACAGCUACUUGGGAGUCUGUAGUAGGAGGAUCACUUAAGCCCAGUGAGCCGUGAUCAUGCUGCUGCACUCCAGCUUGGACGACAGACUGAGACUGGUCUCAAAAAAAAAAAGAAAAAAAA
rnacentral:lncRNA from 1 species